rnacentral:rRNA from 1 species
AACGUAGGAGACAAACGUUAUCCGGAGUUACUGGGCGUAAAGGGCGUGUAGGUGGUUUCGUAAGUCUGGCGUGAAAUAUCCCGGCUUAACCGAGGCAGGUCGUCGGAUACUGCGGAACUGGAGGACGGUAGAGGCGUGUGGAAUUCCGGGUGUAGUGGUGAAAUGCGUAGAGAUCCGGAGGAACACCAGUGGCGAAGGCGACACGCUGGGCCGUACCUGACACUGAUGCGCGACAGCAUGGGGAGCAAACAGG